rnacentral:rRNA from 1 species
CAGUCGCCGCGGUAAUACGUAGGUGGCAAGCGUUGUCCGGAAUUAUUGGGCAUAAAGGGCUCGCAGGCGGUUUCUUAAGUCUGAUGUGAAAGCCCCCGGCUCAACCGGGGAGGGUCAUUGGAAACUGGGAAACUUGAGUGCAGAAGAGGAGAGUGGAAUUCCACGUGUAGCGGUGAAAUGCGUAGAGAUGUGGAGGAACACCAGUGGCGAAGGCGACUCUCUGGUCUGUAACUGACGCUGAGGAGCGAAAGCGUGGGGAGCGAACAGGAUUAGAUACCCCCGUAGUCCCUGUCUCUUAUAC